rnacentral:rRNA from 1 species
CAGUCGCCACGGUAAUACGAAGGGGGCUAGCGUUGCUCGGAAUGACUGGGCGUAAAGGGCGCGUAGGCGGCACACACAGUCAGGCGUGAAAUUCCUGGGCUUAACCUGGGGGCUGCGUUUGAUACAUGUGAGCUAGAGGAUGGAAGAGGCUCGUGGAAUUCCCAGUGUAGAGGUGAAAUUCGUAGAUAUUCGCAAGAACACCAGUGGCGAAGGCGGCUCACUGGCCCAUAACUGACGCUGAGGCACGAAAGCGUGGGGAGCAAACAGGAUUAGAUACCCGCGUAGUCCCUGUCUCUUAUAC